rnacentral:pre_miRNA from 1 species
UGUAGUGUUUAGUGGUAGUGAGUUGAAAUGUAGUGUUUCUAAACACUACAUUUCAACUCACUACCACUAAACACUA